CGAAGGAUGCAAGCGUUAUCCGGAUUCAUUGGGUUUAAAGGGAGCGUAGGUGGUCUUAUAAGUCAGUGGUGAAAUCUCGCAGCUUAACUGCGAAACUGCCAUUGAUACUGUAGGACUUGAGUAUAGUUGCUGUGGGCGGAAUAUGACAUGUAGUGGUGAAAUACUUAGAGAUGUCAUAGAACACCGAUUGCGAAGGCAGCUCACAAAACUAUAACUGACACUGAGGCUCGAAAGUGCGGGGAUCAAACAGGAUUAGAUACCCUGGUAGUCCGCACUGUAAACGAUGAUUACUCGCUGCUAGAAGGCAACUUUUAGUGGCUUAGCGAAAGCGAUAAGUAAUCCACCUGGGGAGUACGCCGGCAACGGUG
rnacentral:rRNA from 1 species